UUACGGCCAUAAAACGUUGAAACAUCGGUUCCCGUACGAUCAGCGAAGUUAAGCAACGUCGAAACUGGUCAGUACCUAGAUGACCACCCGGGAAUACCAGGUGUCGUUA